GACGAACGCUGGCGGCGUGGAUUAGGCAUGCAAGUCGAACGGUAUGUGCCCUUCGGGACACAGAGAGUGGCGAACGGGUGAGUAACGCGUAGGUGAUCUACCUUCAAGUGGGGGACAACCCAGGGAAACUUGGGCUAAUACCGCAUGUGGCUGUAAAGCUAAAGCCGGCCUCUGCAUAUGCUGGUGCUUGGAGAUGAGCCUGCGUCUGAUUAGCUAGACGGUGGGGUAAUGGCCUACCGUGGCGAUGAUAAGUAGGCGGCUUUAACGAGUGGUCGCCCACACUGGGAUUGAGAUACGGCCCAGACUCCUACGGGUGGCUG
rnacentral:rRNA from 1 species